CAGAUCCCUCGUUUUCUUCCCAAGAGGUGGGCUCCAGUCACCGGCUGCGGGAUUGCGGAGUCCGCCGCGGCCUCGGCUCCCGCCCGGCGCCCGGCCUGGCCCCACCGCCGCUCACUCGGUCCGCAUCGCCGCCACCUCCGGAGCUGGUGGGGAGCCCGGCGAGGGAGGGCCUGGAAGGGGCCCUGGGCGCCGAGUCCCCCGCCGGCGCCGACACCGCCUGCCAGGAGCAGCCGGCCUGCUCGAGGUGACUGCAGCCGCGCGGUUCUGGCGCGGCUUCUUCACCAACAUGAGCGGGUCUCUGCGUCCGAGAGUGAGCGCAGCCGGGCAGCGCCUAGUGGAUUACAGCAGACGCCCGGACCGACCGCCGCCUGUAGCUCGGCAGCCUUCGGAUCAGGGAGCCGAUAGCAUGUCCGGGCCUUGGUGACGACGGGUCAGGCCAUGAACUGGGCUUGAGAUCUCUGGCGAGGACCAGGAGAAAGACGAAGCUCGAAAUUAUAAAUGUGGCCAAGCACGAGAGCUGAAAACAAAGCGUAUUUUCCCGUCAGAUGUUUCUACAAAUAAAUUUCGCCAGAGUUCUGUUUUCUGAAUCAGAGAGGCAAGGGAAAUCGAACAAAGACAGUAUUUCACCCUGGGCUGGCAGGCAGCUGUUAGAGGUAUUUACGGCCUUGCCGCAGUGCGGCGGCCAGGCAGCCGGGUAGGGUAUGCGGGGGCACCGGAAGCUGGGGAGAAGCCAUGAAGAACUCAGAAUUUCAACUUAAAUUCAAUUUAGGGUCACGUUUUCGGAAAUGGCGUGAACAGAUGCCCUCUUUCUAGGGACUGGUCCUUUAGACUUGAUAGUUUUGCAGAAUGAGGGAGAAGUUGUGCUCUCUGGAUGUAGGAUGGUUUUCCCCGCCUUGAAGAACGACUCAAAGGGAAGCGGUGCCCAAGAUGUGACAUUUCUGAUCCACAUAACAACCUUCAGAGUGUUCAUUGGCAACGAGGAGAUGCUGCUUGUUCGGCGGAAUAGGGUUUGCAAAUCAGAAAGGACAGUUGAAGCUUUUAAUACAUGUUUUCCUGAAAAAGAAAAGUGUGUUUCCUGCUUCUUGAGAUGAGGUUCCCAAGCUCCUCUGCAUCCAGGCGUAGAAGCAGUGCGCGGUACCUUAUCCGCACUGCGCGGUGCAAGCCGGCCGCACAGCUCACGGUCCCGCAGCGCCCGCCACACACCCGCGCCAGAGGUCCAGCGCAUGUGCAGUGAAAUGGCCUAGCCCGGGAAUUCGAUCGGCAAAGCACGGGUGUGGGGGCGGGGGGGUGGGGGGGGGCGAGUGGACUCGAGCAGGAAGAUACACCCGAUCUUUCCAUUCUCCCUCCGUCAAGGCUCGCUACUCAUCUUGCCUUUAUCUCAGCCUUCCCUGUAUAGCUGAACAGUUCUACCUUUGGCUACAUUUCCAAUCAUUAUGACUUAUCACCUCACCCCAGUUUAAAUCUGUACGCUAGACAUAGGCUGAAAAUACGAGACGAGGGCCAAAGGAAACACUCUUCUUUCCAGUUUAUAUAUAUAUAUAGCAUAUAUUUGCCCCUCGGGGAAGGCUGUAGAUUUUUUUUUUUCAGCCUGCUGCUACUACUUUGGGAAAAGGCCUUUUCUCCUGGCGCCUGUUCAAACCGCCACACUUCAGGCCAAUCCUUCGGCCUGACCAUUCCCGGAUCUUGUUAUGCCAGCACAGCACAUUCGAGGGCUCUGGGGGGCAGCAGCUCGGCGAAGAGCAGUCAAAUAAAUAAAUAAAUAAACAAAUAAAUGAACGGACAUAUAAGGGCUUUUCCCGCCUGGGUUCGCUUAAAUAAUGGGGGACAAGCGCCUCUGGG
rnacentral:lncRNA from 1 species